rnacentral:rRNA from 1 species
AUUGAACGCUGGCGGCAGGCCUAACACAUGCAAGUCGAGCGGAGCGGGGGACGGGUGAGUAAUGCCUAGGAAUCUGCCUGGUCGUGGGGGAUAAGGUCAGGUAACGGGCGCUAAUCCCGCAUCCUAUCUGAUGAGACUAGGUCGGAUUAGCUAGUUGGUGGGGUAAAGGCCUACCAAGGCGACGAUCCGUAACUGGUCUGAGAGGAUGAUCAGUCACACUGGAACUGAGACACGGUCCAGACUCCUACGGGAGGCAGCAGUGGGGAAUAUUCGGCAAUGGGCGAAAGCCUGAUACAGCCAUGCCGCGUGUGUGAAGAAGGUCUUCGGAUUGUAAAGCACUUUUAGUUGGGAGGCGGUACCAACAGAAUAAGCACCGGCUAACUUCGUGCCAGCAGCCGCGGUAAUAC